AGAGUUUGAUCCUGGCUCAGGAUGAACGCUGGCGGCGUGCCUAACACAUGCAAGUCGAGCGAUUUACUUCGGUAAAGAGCGGCGGACGGGUGAGUAACGCGUGGGUAACCUGCCCUGUACACACGGAUAACAUACCGAAAGGUAUGCUAAUACGAGAUAAAAUACUUUUAUCGCAUGGUAGAAGUAUCAAAGCUUUUGCGGUACAGGAUGGACCCGCGUCUGAUUAGCUAGUUGGUAAGGUAACGGCUUACCAAGGCGACGAUCAGUAGCCGACCUGAGAGGGUGAUCGGCCACAUUGGAACUGAGACACGGUCCAAACUCCUACGGGAGGCAGCAGUGGGGAAUAUUGCACAAUGGGCGAAAGCCUGAUGCAGCAACGCCGCGUGAGCGAUGAAGGCCUUCGGGUCGUAAAGCUCUGUCCUCAAGGAAGAUAAUGACGGUACUUGAGGAGGAAGCCCCGGCUAACUACGUGCCAGCAGCCGCGGUAAUACGUAGGGGGCUAGCGUUAUCCGGAAUUACUGGGCGUAAAGGGUGCGUAGGUGGUUUCUUAAGUCAGAGGUGAAAGGCUACGGCUCAACCGUAGUAAGCCUUUGAAACUGGGGAACUUGAGUGCAGGAGAGGAGAGUGGAAUCCCUAGUGUAGCGGUGAAAUGCGUAGAUAUUAGGAGGAACACCAGUUGCGAAGGCGGCUCUCUGGACUGUAACUGACACUGAGGCACGAAAGCGUGGGGAGCAAACAGGAUUAGAUACCCUGGUAGUCCAUGCCGUAAACGAUGAGUACUAGCUGUCGGAGGUUACCCCCUUCGGUGGCGCAGCUAACGCAUUAAGUACUCCGCCUGGGGAGUACGCUCGCAAAAGUGAAACUCAAAGGAAUUGACGGGGACCCGCACAAGUAGCGGAGCAUGUGGUUUAAUUCGAAGCAACGCGAAGAACCUUACCUAAGCUUGACAUCCUUUUGACCGAUGCCUAAUAGUAUCUUUCCCCUCGGGGACAGAAGUGACAGGUGGUGCAUGGUUGUCGUCAGCUCGUGUCGUGAGAUGUUGGGUUAAGUCCCGCAACGAGCGCAACCCUUGCCUUUAGUUGCCAGCAUUAAGUUGGGCACUCUAGAGGGACUGCCAGGGAUAACCUGGAGGAAGGUGGGGAUGACGUCAAAUCAUCAUGCCCCUUAUGCUUAGGGCUACACACGUGCUACAAUGGGUGGUACAGAGGGCAGCCAAGUCGUGAGGCGGAGCUAAUCCCUUAAAGCCAUUCUCAGUUCGGAUUGUAGGCUGAAACUCGCCUACAUGAAGCUGGAGUUACUAGUAAUCGCAGAUCAGAAUGCUGCGGUGAAUGCGUUCCCGGGUCUUGUACACACCGCCCGUCACACCACGGAAGUUGGGGGCGCCCGAAGCCACUUAGCUAACCCUUUUGGGAAGCGAGUGUCGAAGGUGAAAUCAAUAACUGGGGUGAAGUCGUAACAAGGUAGCCGUAUCGGAAGGUGCGGCUGGAUCACCUCCUU
rnacentral:rRNA from 1 species